ensembl:snRNA
AUGUUGUGUGAAAGGAGAGAAGGUUAGCACUCCCCUUUACAAGGAUGGAAGAGACCCUUGGGCCUGACAACAUGCAUACAGUUAAGGCAUUGCCACCUACUUCAUGAUCUCUAACCAUCGUUUUUA